rnacentral:rRNA from 1 species
UACGGAGGGGGCUAGCGUUGCUCGGAAUCACUGGGCGUAAAGCGCACGUAGGCGGACUCUUAAGUCGGUGGUGAAAUCCUGGAGCUCAACUCCAGAACUGCCUUCGAUACUGGGAGUCUCGAGUCCGGGAGAGGUGAGUGGAACUGCGAGUGUAGAGGUGAAAUUCGUAGAUAUUCGCAAGAACACCAGUGGCGAAGGCGGCUCACUGGCCCGGUACUGACGCUGAGGCACGAAAGCGUGGGGAGCAAACAGG